rnacentral:rRNA from 1 species
AUUGAACGCUGGCGGCAGGCCUCACACAUGCAAGUCGAACGAGUGGCGGACGGGUGAGUCAUGUCUGGGAAACUGCCCGAUGGAGGGGGAUAACUACUGGAAACGGUAGCUAAUACCGCAUACCAUCGGAUGUGCCCAGAGGGGCUUAGCUAGUAGGUGGGGUAACGGCUCACCUAGGCGACGAUCCCUAGCUGGUCUGAGAGGAUGACCAGGAAAACUGGACCUGAGACACGGUCCAGACUCCGACGGGAGGCAGCAGGGGGGAGUAUUGCACAAUGGGCGCAAGCCUGAUGCAGCCAUGCCGCGUGGAUGAAGAAGGCCGUCGGGUUGUAAAGUACUUUCAGCGAGGAGGGGUUAAUCGCAGAAGAAGCACCGGCUAACUCCGUGCCAGCAGCCGCGGUAAUAC